rnacentral:tRNA from 1 species
GCCUGGGUGGCUCAGUCGGUUGAGCGUCUGACUUUGGCUCAGGUCAUGAUCUCACAGCUCGUGAGUUCGAGCCCCAAUUCGGGCU